GUUUAAAUAGUUUAAGAAAAAUUUAAGUUUGUGGUACUUAAGAUGUAAAAUUUACUUUAAACU
rnacentral:tRNA from 1 species